UAAAGCACUCUGGGGCCUGUCCCCCAUCCCCCGAGAAGUUCUCAGUUACAAGUUUUAUUGCGCUAAAGAAUGUGUUUGCCACAUGGAAGAGCAGAGAAGAGACACAGAAACAUGCAUCUUUCCUGCAUUUUCCCCACAGAACACAGACUUUCCUGCAUUAAUUUAUAGACAGACCGUUCUAUAAAUGAACAUGCACAUCCCUAGCAAAUGGUAUCCAUUAUUGCUGUUGUUGUAUUGCACUCAUUGUAUUCGCAUGUUUUAUGAUACAUUUAAGGUAACUUCAAUUAUGCCAUGUUUAGUGUCUACGGGUUCGUAUCGAGAAGAUUUAAAUGCUUGUGUAUGCGGUAUGUCCAUACCUGUGCAACACAUCAGUAUUACAAGAAUCUUUAAUAGUUCUUCUUCAAAACUCAGCCAGUAAAUCUUGCUCGAUCAUAAAAGCCCUGACAGGAGGCGUGUUAUCGCCCGGAAAUACAACAUCUUCAUUGGUCCGGUCAACAACUAAGAGGUGUGACUUUGACCAGAGGUUAAAAGCCAGUGAACAAUGCCACUCCCUCUCUUUCCUUGCUUCUUGGACGACUGAAGAGACCCCCUUCUUGCUGCAGGCCUGUAGGCCUAGGCCUGCAGACCUCGGCCUACAACCCAGCCAUGUGCUCAUCUAUAAGUUUUCAUAGUACUUCAUCUAACGCAGAAGAUACUGGCAACAACUUCGGACCGAACCAUCAAGAUUACAACCCAGCCGGCAGAUCCGAUGCUCCUCAGCCUAAAGGCAUCUUGCAAAUUCAACAGCAGAAAAAGUAAACAAAUCCACUGAACAUGAAAACCACGGAAAAGAUAAAGGAGGAAACAGUGUGGAGACAUCAUGGCAUGGGAUUGUAUCACAUUGUAUCAGCUGUAUUAUUGUUUAUAGUGCUUACAAUGUGUUUCUUCAUUAUUUACUGUAAAAAAAGGAAUUCAAGCUGCCUCAUUCUCUUCUGUCAUAACUGAAGGAGAAAGAACAGUGACAGAAAUUAAAGGUCUGAAAGUUUUGCGUGGUGUAAGGGGAAGCCUACAAUUAGUGUUUAGAAUAAAUCUCUCCUCAAAAUACAAAAAGAAUGACCUCCAGACUUCGGCCAGCUGUCGGGCCAAGAAGAAGAAAAAGCCAAUGCGACCUGGUGGUUCUUGAGCUGGACAUGUCCAGAAAAUAUGACCCAAAGUGACAUCUAGAACAUGUCGGGUCUAUUUCUGGAAAUAUUCUUGCCAGUUUACUCAAUGUAGCCUAUGAAUUAUCUUAAACUACAGUAAUCCAUGCCUGACACAAAUAGAUGUUGAAUGAAUUUGCCUAAUUGCUGACUGCUAGACUGCCUCUGAGACUACACUUCCAAAUCCUCUUCUCACUGUUCCCUUAAAGAGGCGAUAGGCUGCUCUUUGAAUCAGACUGUACACUUUAGAUAUCAGACCUCACUCAGAUGCACCCCAGUUCAAAAACUCCUCGAUCCAACUAUGAGAUGGAGGAGUCAAAAAGGUACUGAAAUAUUUUUUGAGGCUUCGUACCUGCUGAUAUCUGGGAAAAUUAGAUUUAGGAAUAUCAAAAUCUGAUAUCAUACAUUCAAAGGAAAUAAAACUAUAGCCCUGAAAAAUAUUUCUUACACAUCUGACUUCCUUUCUAAACCAUGUCUGAGAAGCAUGGUCAAUUAAGGAUGGUGGGAACAGUGCAUUGGACGUAAUAGGUAGCAAGGAAAGUGCUUGUUUUUUCUUAAAAUGUGACCUAAACUGAGCCCAUAUUUUUAAUCAUCUGGUCACCAAUGGAUUACUUGUCAGAUUCUUACUGUUAAGUGUCUGCGGGGGACAGAGCAUUGAAAACAGAGAGACUGGCCUGAAAGAUGCCUAUUCCAUCUCUACCCAAACAGGUUCAUUCUCCUGAUUUAAUUGCUCUGCCCAGUGAAUAAAUUUAACAGUAUUACAAGACCAAUAAUACAUAAAGUUGGGCAAUGCCAGUAACCCUGUAUCUUUCCACAUUUAUAAAAAUGCUUUUCUUUA